GCUCCCAGGUGCUGCCGCUGCUGCUGGACCAGGGACCACACUUUGAGAACUGCUGUCUUGAUUGACAUUCACAACAGCCGAAUUAGGGACCAAGGAAGAAACUGAAGCAGAGAGAGCAGAAGCGGCCUGCUCAAGGCCACACAGCUAGAAACUGACAGAGGCAGGACUGGAACCCAGGCCGAGUGGAUUCCGAAACCCACCACCUGCAGAUGGAGCGUGUUUCCCACUCCACCUACACAAUGGCCUCAGAUUUCUACCCUGGUCCCUGUCUGACCUGCUGGCAAAAGUGUCCGAUCAGUGCACCUCCACCAGCCACAUGAUCUCAGAGAGGGGCCCAAAGCGCACCAUGGAUGCAAAUUCGAAAGCUCCACCAGCUGUGGUGCCACCUCAUGCCUCCGCCCUGUGCCCCACUGUGUUCCAGUUCCAAGCAAUGAUUCUCUCCUCCAGGAAACCACAACGCGACCUAGGCUGCCUAUUGGAGCAGCUACAAAGGAGAACCCUGAUUACUUACUUCCGUGUUCCUCUAACUCGAGCCAAGUUUGUGUUGAGGGAAAAACAUUCUCCAAGUCCCCCAGACCAUGCGAGCAGACGAAGUAGAAGAACACAGAUUGAAGCCUAUAAAACGCUGGACCGUGAACACGCCCCUCGAGGGGGCAUCGCAACUGCCGCAGCGGGACGUCAUCAGGCUGCUGGAACCGGUUUUGUCAUUUUUGCUGUUUUACGUUUCAUCGCAAAAAAAAACAAAAAAACAAAAACAAAAAAACUGCGAUAUGAAAACUUUCUCAGGAAGUGCCCCACAAUCUUCUCAUCCCAAACACUCCCCCCAUGUCCGCCCGGGUCUGCAAAAGUGAAAUUAAGAAAGCCUGAGUUACCCAUUCAGGGGCCACGAGGCAAGAGCAGCCUCAUUGCUCUGGAGGAAUACCACCGCUCGGUGUGGGAGGGCGCCGCGGGGUUGGUCUCUUCUCUGCCUGCG
rnacentral:lncRNA from 1 species